GCAGCGUCACAGCUGGCUCACCAUGUUGGCGGGAGGCAGUGGCUGGGCUUGCAUCUGCUCACCUUCUGCGAGAUACUCCUCCAGCUCCUCAGCCAACCUUUCCUGCAGACCACACUUUAUUCUGGAGGACAAAGGCCUUGAAGAGACUGCUUAACCAGCCCCCACAAUUGGAGGAAAGGCCAUGUGAGGACACAGUGAGAAGGCAGCCAUCUGCAAGCCAAGGAAAGAGGCCUCAAGAGAAACCAACCCUGCUGACACCUUGAUCUCAGACUUCCAGCCUCCAGAACUGUGAAAAAAUACAUUUCUAUUGUUUAAGUCAGCUAGUCUGCAGUAUUUUGUUAUGGUAGCCCUAGCAGACUAAGACACAUAUUACUGUUUAAAUGCUAAAUACCACAUUCCCACCAACCUCCAUGGAACUAAUCUUUCUUUAAAAAUAGCUUUUUGGGGAGAAAAGUCACCAGUUUGAGUGUAUACUAUUUUUA